GUGCACGCAUGCGUGUGUAUGUGUGAGUCCGCAGUGGAGAAAAUGGCCGCCUGAAGCAGUUUCAUGGAAGAAGUGACAUGGAGAAUACGUCGAAGGAUGAAGGAGAGUGGUGUUCUUCAGUUUCACCCAACGCUCAUCAAUCAUCCUGUCAUCACGCCCUGUUUCUUGUGCCCCGUGCAUCGUGUCAUUCCCAACCCUGCCUCUGCGAUCCGGCCAUUAAUGGGACUGGGAAGCCAUUUGGGUAAAGCCCCGCAUCGGUUAAUUCCGGUUAAGACGCUCGUUCCGGUCGCGUGACAUGUCACGCCAGUCGAGCCCACGAAGCAAACCAAAAUGAACAAGAAACUGAGAUGUGCAAGAAACUGCAUAUGUGGCGGCGACAGGCUAGCUAACGAGUCAAUGAAGUCUUCAAAACUGCUUCGGCAAAUGGAGACCAAGCAUCCUGCUUUCGAAGACAAACCACUUCGGGCGUCAUUGUCUUCAAUUACGCCUAGAUGGGACCGGCUCGUUUCUGACAAACAAGCUCAGUGCUCCCACUAAUUCAACGUCAU